AUAAAUUCCAGUUCGGUUGGAGAGGGGUGAACGCUAAGCUAACUCUGGUCCUACAAACCUCGGUCUGGGUUUGGUUGAAGUGAACUCUGGUUCCGUUUGAAUGCAGAUGUUAACGCCAGAG